rfam:Capsicum annuum cultivar Zunla-1 chromosome 10, whole genome shotgun sequence
AUUGGGAAAUGAUGAUAAUAUAUCGAUAUGUCAGAGGCAUAAUUUUAUUUGUGCUGUGCUGAAUAAAUAUGUUUGCACGUCAGUCUGAUCCCAAU